UUUUAGCCCUGAUGGUCGUGGAAAUCCUUUUUGAUUUGCCGAGGGUUUUUUAACCCUUGGUAAUUUAAAAAGAUUGUAACAGACAGCAGGAAUAUGG
rnacentral:sRNA from 1 species